rnacentral:lncRNA from 1 species
CCAAGGGAUUUCUAUAAAUUGAAAUCUGUUAAGACUCUUCUUCUUAAUGGAUGUUCAAAAUUCAUAGAACUGCAUGAGGAUAUAGGGGAGAUGAUAUCACUGAGAACACUUGAAGCAGAGCGAACAUCCAUAAGAGAAGUACCACCUUCCAUAGUAAGAUUGAAGAAUCUCACUGGUUUAUCCCUUGAUAAGUACCGCAUCAGUGUAAAGCUCAAAGGAGAAUACAAAUAUCUGUGUUGGGACCUAUGCCCUUUAAAGUCCAUACCAGAUGACUUUUUUAAUCAAGAUAAACUAGUUGUUUUACAGAUGCAGUAUAGCAAACUGGUACAAGUUUGGGAGGGUUCCAAGGUACAAUGAAUUACACGUGAUGAUGUUCUGUUUCUCUUUCUUUUUUUUAUAACAGCUUCAUUUCGGAUAUUAAUUUCAAUUUUCUUUUGAUUUUCUGCAACAGUCACUAUAUAACUUGAAAACCCUGGAUCUCAGCUGUUCCGAUUCCUUACAGAAAUCACCGGACUUUUCACAAGUCCCAAAUCUUGAAGAGUUGAUAUUGGAAGGGUGUUCUAGUUUGUCCGAGAUUCACCCCUCCAUUGGUCAUCUUAAAAAACUUUCUUUGGUGAACCUUACCCAAUGUUGGGAACUUAUUUCUCUUCCAAGGGAUUUCUAUAAAUUGAAAUCUGUUGAGACUCUUCUUCUUAAUGGAUGUUCAAAAUUCAUAGAACUGCAUGAGGAUAUAGGGGAGAUGAUAUCACUGAGAACACUUGAAGCAGAGCGAACAUCCAUAAGAGAAGUACCACCUUCCAUAGUAAGAUUGAAGAAUCUCACUGGUUUAUCCCUUGAUAAGUACGGCAUCAGUGUAAAGCUCAAAGGAGAAUACAAAUAUCUGUGUUGGGACCUAUGCCCUUUAAAGUCCAUACCAGAUGACUUUUUUAAUCAAGAUAAACUAGUUGUUUUACAGAUGCAGUAUAGCAAACUGGUACAAGUUUGGGAGGGUUCCAAGGUACAAUGAAUUACACGUGAUGAUGUUCUGUUUCUAUUUGUUUUUUGGAUUUCUUCUCUUUCUUUUUUUUAUAACAUCUUCAUUUCGGAUAUUAAUUUUAAUUUAUUUUGAUUUUCUGCAACAGUCGCUUCGUUACUUGAAAACCCUU